CGGGGAAUAUUGCGCAAUGGGCGAAAGCCUGACGCAGCAACGCCGCGUGAGGGAUGACGGCUUUCGGGUUGUAAACCUCUUUCAGCAGGGACGCGGUACCUGCAGAAGAAGCCCCGGCCAACUACGUGCCAGCAGCCGCGGUAACACGUAGGGGGCAAGCGUUGUCCGGAUUUAUUGGGCGUAAAGAGCUCGUAGGUGGUUCGGUAAGUCGGGUGUGAAAACUCUGGGCUCAACUCAGAGACGCCACCUGAUACUGCCGGACUGGAGUCUGGUAGGGGAGUGUGGAAUUUCCGGUGUAGCGGUGAAAUGCGCAGAUAUCGGAAGGAACACCAGUGGCGAAGGCGGCACUCUGGGCCAGUACUGACACUGAGGAGCGAAAGCGUGGGUAGCGAACAGGAUUAGAUA
rnacentral:rRNA from 1 species